AAAAAGGCCCUUCUCAGGGCCAACAAAUUACUACACACAUUCUUA
rfam:Triticum urartu cultivar G1812 contig402656, whole genome shotgun sequence.